rnacentral:lncRNA from 13 species
UCCAGCGGGAAGCCCUUCCCUGUGUCCCGUCCCUCCAUCCCUUGUCCCAAUCCCUCUCCAGCUCUACUGGAGCCCUGCAAGGGGCUCUGAGCUCUCCCUGGAGACUCCUCUCGAUCCAGGUCCUGUUUCCACCAUGGAAAACCACGGGAAUCCCGUGGGAUUUGGAGGCUGGAGACUCUGUGGAGCUUUGAGGCAACGCUUUGGUGGCUCCAGAGCCCGGAAAAGCUCCCAAUUCCCAUCUAAUCUUUAACUGGAGGCGUUUCCAGCUGGAUUUUGUUGGUUUAUUGCUCUCCUGCCUCGUUAAUUUUUUCCCUCCCUCUCCGGCCGUUCCCGGUGUUCCGUGGCCUUUUCCUGGUGCUGGCUCACACCAGAGCUGCCUGGCCCAGCAGAGAGAGCGGAGGCGGGAGGAGCCAGCGCCAGGAGCGGGCCAUCGUGAUCCCGGGAUCGCCGCUUCGGCCCCACGGAGCAGCCCUGUUCCUGUGGGAUGUGGCCAGCAGGGGUUUGAGGCCUCAUCCCAAGGGAAGCGGAGCUGGAAAAUCCCCGGGAUCGGGAUCCGGAGCCGACCAUGCUGAGCCUCAAAGCGCCCCGGCUGCUCAGCGUCCACCAAGUGCCCAAGGUCAGCUGGGAAUUCUGCUCCCGAGGCUUGGGGGGAUUUGGGAUGUGACAGAUGGGAACAGCGUGAGAAGGGGUCACAGCUGUGUCCCGACUCCGGAAUUUUGGGGAUGCUCCCCAUCCUUUUCCAUUCCUGUCUCCAUCCCCAUCCCAUCCCCAUCCCAUCCCCAUCCCAUCCCAUCCCCAUCCC